AGCAUUGUGGAGGAACAGAGCAAGAAAAGCUAGCCAGAAGACAUUGCUUCCUGUGCACGUCAGGUAAGGCAGAGUC
rnacentral:lncRNA from 1 species